GUGAAUCAUCAAAUUUUUGAACGCAAAUUGCGCUCUCUGGUAUUCCGGAGAGUAUGCCUGUUUGAGGGUCAGUUUAAAUACAAAUCGGGGUGGUUGCUGCGAUUCGUGGUGAGGCACCGGAUUUGGGUCGUCUUACCUUCAGCUAAGUAACCUAAAAUUUUGUACGAUUUUUUUCAAUGGUAUUUAAAUGAUUAUACGUACGUUUGCGAUAUCUACUACUCGGUGUGGUCAUUCACAC
rnacentral:misc_RNA from 1 species